AUCUAUCUGAGCAUUUCACUGUGGUUAAUUAAUUUUAACACAAUGUCAACAUUUCCGUACACGGUUUUAACGAAGACACUUGUCUUUAAUUUGAGAUACUUGUACAGCUCCGCUACAGCGUCGCGUGCGAAUGACGUCAUCAACCGCGCUGGGCCGCUUGUGGAUGACGUCAUUCACAUGCAGCUGCGAUCGUAUCUUUCGCGCCGAAAGAUAACGGCUGGGACUAAGUAAAAAGUAGUAAAAAUGGAGACAUAGCGAAACGCUGAUGUCUCCAUUUUUACUGCCUUUUACUACUUGAAUGGACUGAGGGUGAUGAUAGUGGGGCGCAUAGUAUUUUGGCGAUUGACUGUGUCCGGAACUUUUCAGUUCAAGAUUUUUUUGCCUCGACUGAACAAAACGAGAAGCUGGUGGAAUGGCGAAACGGCCGCCAACCCUGGCCGGUUCACCCAGCCAAAAUUAUUGACGUGGCAAGUUGUCGUGAAAAAGAAAAAUGUUUCUAAAUACGAGACAGGAGGAGGAGGAGAAAGUGGAUGAUGAGGCGCGUCAUGACACAAAGAACAAGGUGGGAAGCCAACCAGAGGGGACGGGGAGCAGCUGGUUGCCCUGGACAAAAUAAAAAAGGCAGCCAUUAUUGGCAUCAAUGGAGACUGGAUAAGAUGCUACAUUGAAGAAAUGGCCGGCAGCCAGCCGAGGGCAGAUAGGCACAGCUAUAAAUUCCAAGCUCGCAGAGAUGCGAAGAUCCAUUAAAUGAUUAUUUUUUUUUGUUGUCAUUUUUGUACAUUUUGAUAGUCCUUAAAUAAAUAAUGUAAAUUUCCACAUUUUGGGCUUUUAUUUUUGUUUCCUAGUUUGGAUUUUAAUAAUUUUACUAAUGUAUAGGUGGACAUAUGUGCAUAUAUGUACCUAUAUAGGUACAUUUAUGCAUGUAUAUAUAUGUGU